CUGCGGCUCAAAUUUGACUUCAACACGGGAAAACUUACCAGGUCCAGACGUAGGAAGGAUUUGACAGAUUGAUAGCGCUUUCUUGAUUCUUAUGGGUGGUGGUGCAUGGCCGUUCUUAGUUGGUGGGUUGCCUUGUCAGGUUGAUUCCGGUAACGAACGAGACCUCAGCCUGCUAAAUAGUCACGGCUGCAUCCGCAGUUGGCAAACUUCUUAGAGGGACUGUUGGCGACUAGCCAACGGAAGUAUGAGGCAAUAACAGGUCUGUGAUGCCCUUAGAUGUUCUGGGCCGCACGCGCGCUACACUGAUACGUUCAACAAGUUCCUUGGCUCGAAAGGCCUGGGUAAUCUUUGAAACCGUAUCGUGAUGGGGAUAGAACAUUGCAAUUAUUGUUCUUCAACGAGGAAUGCCUAGUAACCGCGAGUCAUCAUCUCGCGUUGAUUACGUCCCUGCCCUUUGUACACACCGCCCGUCGCUCCUACCGAUUGGAUGUGCUGGUGAAGACUUCGGAUCGGCCACGCAACUAGGUUCUCCUGGUGGCGGAGUCGAGAAGUUGUUUAAACCCUCCCAUUUAGAGGAAGGAGAAGUCGUAACAAGGUUUCCGUAGGUGAACCUGCGGAAGGAUCAAAGGGCGAAUU
rnacentral:rRNA from 1 species